UACGUAGGGGGCAAGCGUUGUCCGGAAUCAUUGGGCGUAAAGCGCGCGUAGGCGGCCCGGUAAGUCCGUUGUGAAAGUCAAAGGCUCAACCUUUGAACGCCGAUGGAUACUGCCGGGCUAGAGUCCGGAAGAGGCGAGUGGAAUUCCUGGUGUAGCGGUGAAUGCGCAGAGUAUCAGGAGGAACACCAAUAGCGAAGGCAGCUCGCUGGGACGGUACUGACGC
rnacentral:rRNA from 1 species